AUGGGUUUCACUUUUUAUUUUUUACUCCAUAGGCAUUUGUUUCAUACAAAGGGAGUUGGCUUGCAAGAACUUCCUAAGGAUGAAAUGAAAAGGGAAAAGAGAAAAUAUACAGCAAAGACAGAUGGAAAGAGCCUCAGAAGUGCCAUUCCAAAGAUUCGGUCUAAAACAGAUUAUAAGAAGCCUCCAGACAGUGAUGAAAAAUUGAGGAAAAAAUUCUUCACUCCAGCCCUGGACAGCUUGUUGUAUGAAGAAGAAGAGUUCCAGGCAUACUCAAAACUGGGACCUCUGAAGAGAAAGCUGCUUGUGGUUGGAAAAGCUGUGUCUACUUGUAAGGAAACAGAAGAAAUGCCAAGCUGGAGCCACAGAGAAGGGGGUACUGUUGGUAAAUCAGAUGGGCGUAUCACAGCUAAGAUGAUCAAGGCCUUAUUUAAGGAAAAUGAUGAAAACUAGACAAGCUGUGCUGUUUACACAGAAAUGUAACAUUCUUAGUUCAUUAAAUAUUUGAUCUCUUCUGUGUGGCAUGGGGCUUUGAGGAAACUAUUUUAGAGUGCCUGAAUCAUGAGUAUAAGUUUCAUGAGAGGUAUGUCUGUGUGCAGAGGCUAAUUGAAAGGUUCCUUUCCUUACCACUGAGAGAGGUCUUGUGCACUCUCUGGGGUAUUCAGUCUACAUAGCACAUAUAUCUACUAAAAGGUCUAAGCUAAUAUUUAGUUUGUGUGGUCUCCACUUGCAGAUGUGGAAUUCCCUCUUGAUCAGACAGUGAAUGGGUAAAUGCAGGCUGCCAUAAAACACAGAACUGUUGCAAAAUACAUAAUGCUCUGCUAAAGCAGAAUUAAUUUUUGCAAGCGUAAUUCAACUAUUGCUAUAAAUUCAGUGUCUGAAUGCUUUUUUAUCUGUCUCCACAGGACCCCUACUUAAAUACACUGAAAUAAACAAAAACUAAUUUAUAACGAAUUUAAAACCAGCAUAAAUAUCUCUAAGGUCUGAAAUAUUUUGUCUGUUUAGAAUUGGCCAAAUAUAUUGUGUAAGCCCUUAUCCUUGGUUUGUGGCUGGUCCCUUUGAACAUUUAUCCCAGUGCAUUGAUGCAGUGGAGGUUCUCCCUCUGAACACCCUCUCAGCAGCAUACAACAGGUCCUUCCCACAUAUAGGCUCUGACCCAUUCAUUUCCUCAUUAGAAACUUGUGACAGCAUUGAAUAAUCAAUUUAAACCCUUGACAGGAU
ensembl:lncRNA